UGGUUAAUUGGGUGGUACAGAUGAUAUCUUCGAUCUUAGUCUGGAAUUUGACUUUUCAUGUAUGGAAGAACUUUUUAUGGAAAGAAGAAAGCAGCGUUAGUAAUGAUUUACAUUUUGCAAGCUCUAAACAGCGGAGCGUGCAGUAUUAUGUGAAAACCCGUGUGAAGAUUUACUCGCAAAGUUGCAUAUCCAUGUGCAUCAGACAUGAAUUGGAUGCAGUAAUAUCAAAUUACCAGUUUUUCGAUGUUCAACUCGUGUCUUACGCCUGCAGCAACUUGAAAGAUCUCUCUGUCUUGGAGGAACUCUGGCACCGGAGAUUGGGAACCUCGCCCAUAUUAAGUCCAUUAUCUUACGCAACAAUACUUUCUCUGGGUUCAUUCCUGAAGGGAUCGGAGAGCUCAAGGAGCUGGAGGUGUUGGAUCUAGGAUACAAUAAUUUCAGUGGGCCACUACCCUACAAGCUUGGGAAUAAUCUCUCUCUAUCAAUCCUCUUACUUGACAACAAUGUGCUACUAACUGCACUGUCACCUGAAGUCUACGAGUUCAAGAUUAUUUCCGAAGCUCAAGUUGAUGAAAGCCUAUUAUCUGCUUCUCUAGAAAGGAAUGCCGAUAGUAUUCAAGGUCAGCAUUUCAUUCAUGAGAGAAUGCUUGCUGGGACAUCCCCUGAAAGUUCUAAUUCACCAGACACGCGAAACCGUGUCCGACCGACCGCCGCCACUAGUUUCCCCAUCCCCGUCCCCUUCUGCAUCCCCGAUUGCAUCCCCAGCCCGGCCCUCAUCCCCUCUGGCCUCUCCUCAGGCCUCUAAAACGAAAAAAGUGCUGCUCAUCGGUGCCUCUGUUGGGGGAUCUGCGUUAUUGUUCUUGAUCAUACUUGGCGUAUACUUCUACAGGCGGGACAAAGGUACCAUGGUCAAACCUUGGGCCACAGGCUUAAGGGGACAGCUCCAGAAAGCAUAUGUAGCAGAGCAGAAAAGAGGAAGCCGCGAAAGCUCGGCGAGGGGUUGUUGAACGGUGAUGAGGAGCAGUAGCCGGUAAUAAAAUGGGUUGGGCCCUUCAAAAUGUAAUUGGGCUUCAAGAUCAGCCCGUUUAGGGGAAAAAAAAUACCCCGAUUCUUUUUUCCGGCAUAAUCGAAGCCAAACUUAAAACAAGAUACUACUCGAGUUUGAACCAGUGAUUCAUCUUAAACAAAGGCAUCUUUAGAUCUUAA